rnacentral:rRNA from 1 species
GUAUGUCACGAGCGUUAUCCGGAUUUAUUGGGCGUAAAGCGCGUCUAGGUGGUUAUGUAAGUCUGAUGUGAAAAUGCAGGGCUCAACUCUGUAUUGCGUUGGAAACUGUAUAACUAGAGUACUGGAGAGGUAAGCGGAACUACAAGUGUAGAGGUGAAAUUCGUAGAUAUUUGUAGGAAUGCCGAUGGGGAAGCCAGCUUACUGGACAGAUACUGACGCUGAAGCGCGAAAGCGUGGGUAGCAAACAGGAUUAGAUACCCUGGUAGUCCACGCCGUAAACGAUGAUUACUAGGUGUUGGGGGUCGAACCUCAGCGCCCAAGCAAACGCGAUAAGUAAUCCGCCUGGGGAGUACGUACGCAAGUAUG